CACGGAAAAAGGAAGAAACGAGGGAGGAGGUGAAGAGAGGCGGGGCACAGAAGCCAUAUCACAAACACUAAAGGUUUUAAUUUGAAAUGAUUACAUGAAGUGCUAAGUUUGUGUUGCAGCGUCCUGAGGUGAACCCAAAAAGGAGGGAAAAGUCAGAGCAAGAGCAGCCAUUAGACUUCUUUCAGGCUUCAUCUCGAUUUUGGACUCUGGAGUUGAAGAAACUGCCUUCAAAUUUCCGUGUGCAGAGCAAUGGCCAAGCAAAGGAAAGACUUCCCUGAGUGAAAAAGAAGAUGAAGAUGCAAGCUGGUGAUGAUCCAGAGCAGCUGGUCUCAGGAAAUGAAGAAAAACCCUGAUCACCUUUUCCACAGAAACAAGAAUAAAUUACGACUAGUCUCAAUGGCUGAGAUGGAGGAGCAACACAGCGACACGUUAACCCGACUGCUGAAGUUCCCGUAUGAACUGAGCAACUCUAAAAAUCCAAGGAAAAGCUGAGUGUAUUUUAUUUAAAGCUCAGAUGGACCUUGAUGGACUAACAUGCAGGCUGCAUUCAGGACUUUGUCACACUGGUAUAUGAAGAGUGGUAACAAGAGAAAUUGUGCACACACAAUGUGUCACUUUAUGCUUGCUCUUCUCCAGCCUCUGGUGUCACUUUGUAGUAAUUAGUCUUACUAUUGUCUUAUGUGUUGUGAUUUAGGGUAUGUGCACACAAGCAGAGGUUUUUGUUUGUAACCGUAACCUUAUUUUCAGAGCCUUGUCUAACAUUUAAUGGUCGUGAAAUAUGUCAGACUUUUUCCUCUACUUAAACAGCUAAGGGCAUUUGAACACAGAGAAAAAGGUGUGCAUUAAGGAUUUUGAACUAUGAUGUUUAAGUGUUGUCACUGCUGAGGAUUCGUGGACACAGAUCCUUAUUCACUACGCUGCUGUUUACAAUUUAACUUUUCAUCAGAACAAGCACUUCUAGUUGUACUUUGCUCCUCACUGACAAAACAAGUCCAGUAAAUGCACUUUUAUCUUCAAGUUUGGGACAGUAAUCUGUCUUAAUUUAUUUUGUGCUUUAGUUAUCAUAUGUGGAAAAGUUCUGUGGUUAUCUAUCCGUCCUGUUUGCAUAAACCCAAAGUUCAGGAACA